rnacentral:lncRNA from 1 species
UCUAAGAAGAACUUCCAUGGCCCAAAGCAGACAGGGCCUUCCAGAAAAUCCUGGAAAAGGCGGAAAAACACAAAUAAAUAAAUGGAGGGAAACGGAUAAAUACUAACAUACAGAGGUUACUCGAACUGCCUGCCCUGGGAUGUUGGCUUAGACCAGGCCUGGUGGGAUUAGUUUAAUGUGAAGAGGGUACCAACUACAAUCCUUUUUUUAACUGAGUUCUUGAGGAGAGCAUCCUCUUCAAAGCCAAGGGAGAAAAGAACCUCAAGAAAGAGAAACACCAGGGCUGGAGAGAUGGCUCAGUGGUUAAGAGCACUGUCUGCUCUUCCAGAGGUCCUGAGUUCGAUUCCCAGCAACCACAUGGUGGCUCACUAAAAAAUGAUACAUUGUACUGGAACUCAAUCUGUAGGUGGAAGCGUGGAUGGCAAUCAUUGCACACAAAUAAAGAGCAGGCUGGAAAGCCUUU